rnacentral:lncRNA from 1 species
ACUUUCAUAUAAUCUCUCACCAUGUUUGGUUGGUUGUAUUGGCACCCACUUCAAUCCUCUGUUUGGUUCAGGGUAUUGGCUAAUACCCGUCUAUUACAUUACACCCCUAAUCCUCAAAAUCUACCGAUUUCUAUUACGUUCCUCUUUCUCAGAUUAGGUGCUGCUUGAGUUUUAGACCCUGUUUUACCCUCCUGCUUCCCCUUUCCGUCUUCUGUUUCUUCCUUCUGUCUUUCUUUUGCUGAAGAUUACAAUAGAAUCGACGCUUGGCCUUCUCAACCUUUUAUUUUCGGAGUUUACUGCAACUGGAAAGGUAAAUUCAUAUUUCUAACUCUCUUUUGCUCUCAAAUUUAUAUGGAUUCCUGUAUUUUAAUUAGCUUAAGUUCCGAGUAGAUUUCUAUUUCUUAAAGGUUUUUGUUGCUGGUGGAAAUUGGAACUCGAUUGCUCUAUUUGUGGACUGAUGUAACCUAUUCAUUAUCGUUUUCUUGAAAAACUCUAUUAUUGAUAAUCUGCUCUCAACUUUAUCAGGAAAAACCAGUCAAGCCGAAGCCUGCACCUGCGGCCAUCUCAAGCACAGCUUUGAAGCAAGCUUCAGGUUCUUUAUUUUCUUAGUUCUGUAUUUGGAAAGAUCAACCUGCUUUUAUCUUUUAUUUGAAAAAAAGGAGAUUCUAUCCAGGAAAUAUUUUUUAUAUUUAUGCCUUCUCUUUUUCUUUUUCUUUUCUUUUUUGGUAACAAU